UACAGAGGGUGCGAGCGUUGUCCGGAAUCACUGGGCGUAAAGGGCGCGUAGGCGGCCUGAUAAGUAGGGGGUGAAAUCCUGUGGCUUAACUGCAGGGCUGCCUCCUAGACUGUUAGGCUCGAGCGCGGUAGAGGCAGAUGGAAUUCCCGGUGUAGCGGUGGAAUGCGUAGAGAUCGGGAAGAACAUCGGUGGCGAAGGCGGUCUGCUGGGCCGUUGCUGACGCUGAGGCGCGACAGCGUGGGGAGCAAACAGG
rnacentral:rRNA from 1 species